UAGGGAAUCUUCCACAAUGGACGCAAGUCUGAUGGAGCAACGCCGCGUGAGUGAAGAAGGUUUUCGGACCGUAAAGCUCUGUUGUUGGUGAAGAAGGAUAGAGGUAGUAACUGGCCUUUAUUUGACGGUAAUCAACCAGAAAGUCACGGCUAACUACGUGCCAGCAGCCGCGGUAAUACGUAGGUGGCAAGCGUUGUCCGGAUUUAUUGGGCGUAAAGCGAGCGCAGGCGGAAGAAUAAGUCUGAUGUGAAAGCCCUCGGCUUAACCGAGGAAUUGCAUCGGAAACUGUUUUCUUGAGUGCAGAAGAGGAGAGUAGAACUCCAUGUGUAGCGGUGGAAUGCGUAGAUAUAUGGAAGAAUACCAGUGGCGAAGGCGGCUCUCUGGUCUGCAACUGACGCUGAGGCUCGAAAGCAUGGGUAGCGAACAGGAUUAGAUACCCUGGUAGUCCAUGCCGUAAACGAUGAGUGCUAAGUGUUGGGAGGCUUCCGCCUCUCGGUGCUGCAGCUAACGCAUUAAGCACUCCGCCUGGGGGAGUACGACCGCAAGGUUGAAAC
rnacentral:rRNA from 1 species